AUACGUAGGGCGCAAGCGUUGUCCGGAUUUACUGGGUGUAAAGGGUGCGUAGGCGGCUCUGCAAGUCAGGCGUGAAAACCAUGGGCUUAACCCAUUGGAUUGCGUUUGAAACUGUGGAGCUUGAGUGAAGUAGAGGUAGGCGGAAUUCCCGGUGUAGCGGUGAAAUGCGUAGAGAUCGGGAGGAACACCAGUGGCGAAGGCGGCUUACUGGGCUUUAACUGACGCUGAGGCACGAAAGCAUGGGUAGCAAACAGGAUUAGAUACCCUGGUAGUCCAUGCCGUAAACGAUGAUUACUAGGUGUGGGGGGUCUGACCCCUUCCGUGCCGGAGUUAACACAAUAAGUAAUCCACCUGGGGAGUACGGCCGCAAGGUUGAA
rnacentral:rRNA from 1 species